AUUGAACGCUGGCGGCGUGCUUAACACAUGCAAGUCGAACGAAGUGGCGAACGGGUGAGUAACGCGUAAUCAACCUGCCCUUCAGAGGGGGACAAUAGUUGGAAACGACUGCUAAUACCGCAUACUGAAGGAGGGGAUUGCGUUUGGUUAGCUAGUUGGAGGGGUAACGGCCCACAAAGGCGAUGAUCAGUCGCCUGGUUGAGGAGAUUGACGAGCAAAUGGGGACUUGAACACGGCCCAGACUCCGACGGGAGGCAGCAGGGGGGAAUGUUCGGAAAUGGACGGAAGGCUGGCGGAGGAACGGCGCGUGAGAGAUGACGGCCUUCGGGUUGUAAAGCUCUGUUAAGCGGGACGCGGUACCGGAAUAGAAAGCCACGGCUAACUACGUGCCAGCAGCCGCGGUAAUUC
rnacentral:rRNA from 1 species